UCCGGAAUUACUGGGCGUAAAGCGCGCGCAGGCGGUCCUUUAAGUCUGAUGUGAAAUUCCGCGGCUCAACCGCGGGUGUGCAUUGGAAACUGGGGGACUUGAGUGCGGAAGAGGGGAGCGGAAUUCCCGGUGUAGCGGUGAAAUGCGUAUAGAUCGGGAGGAACACCAGUGGCGAAGGCGGCUCUCUGGUCCGCAACUGACGCUGAGGCGCGAAAGCGUGGGGAGCGAACAGGAUUAGAUACCCUGGUAGUCCACGCCGUAAACGAUGAGUGCUAAGUGUUAGAGGGGAUUGACCCUUUAGUGCUGCAGCUAACGCAUUAAGCACUCCGCCUGGGGAGUACGGCCGCAAGGCUGAAACUCAAAGGAAUUGACGGGGGCCCGCACAAGCGGUUGGAGCAUGUGGUUUAAUUCGAUGCAACGAAGAACCUUACCAGGUCUUGACAUCCCGCUGACCGGGUCUGGAGACAGGCCUUUCCCUUAUGGGACAGCGGUGACAGGUGGUGCAUGGUUGUCGUCAGCUCGUGUCGUAAGAUGUUGGGUUAAUUCCCGCAACGAGCGCAACCCCUGUCCUUAGUUGCCCGCAUUGAGUUGGGCACUCUAAGGAGACUGCCGGCUAGAAGUCGGAGGAAGGUGGGGAUGACGUCAAAUCAUCAUGCCCGUUAUGACCUGGGCUACACACGUGCUACAAUGGGCGGUACAAAGGGCAGCGAACCCGCGAGGGGGAGCGAAUCCCAAAAAGCCGCUCUCAGUUCGGAUUGCACGCUGCAACUCGCCUGCAUGAAGGCGGAAUCGCUAGUAAUCGCGGAUCAGCAUGCCGCGGUGAAUACGUUCUCGGGCCUUGUACACACCGCCCGUCACACCACGAGAGUCUGCAACACCCGAAGUCGGUGAGGUAACCCGAAAGGGAGCCAGCCGCCGAAGGUGGGGCAGAUGAUUGGGGUGAAGUCGUAACAGGGUAGCCA
rnacentral:rRNA from 1 species